rnacentral:sRNA from 1 species
ACAGAAUUUAUAUUAAACUACUUGUCAACGGCUUGAUGUCACUAUCAGUUAAGUAUGGUUGUCUUAUCGGCAUUCCAAGUGGAUAACCAGUUGUGCUCGUGUCAAAGUUAACAAGCCGCUGACAACGCCUCGAUGCAGUUAAAAAGAGAUUACUAAAUACUUAAAUCGCGACACGCUGCCAUGUGGAGCACUGUGCGAGGAGGCCACGCAACGGCAUUUGCGGACUUGCUACAUGCAAAUUGUGGCCAAGCGCGAUGUGUCAACAACUCUCGGCGAUCGCAUUCAAAUUUGGUGUUCCGUCGAAUCCUGCUAACCCUGCCCCCGUACCGCUGUUCACCCCAGGGCAAUGCACGCGCCAAGGCUUUUCCUUGCAUCGAACCGCUAAUCGCCUGAAUGGGGCAUGGAAAUUGAAAUUGGAAAUUGGAGCUACAGUAUGUAUAUGUAUGUAGACUAUGCUAUAUGUGCAUCUGUGUGUGAAUAGAUGGAAAUGAUACGCACGCCAGACGCAGGUGACCGACUUCCCAAAUGCAACGUGAUGUGAGUGAGCUCCACUAAAGGCGAUUUCUGUGCAUUGUCUUCACUGAGGGUGGAGGCGUGCCCGAUGUGAAGCCGUUGAUAUUGAGCACGUAGCCCAAAAAUGGAUGCCAUGAAAUGGCUCUUAAUGCUCACUAAAUAAAUACUUGGCAUGCAUGGAUAAUAUUGAUAUUAAUAUUAAGCGACAACGGAAGAAAAUUGCACAGAACCGAAAGAUAUUCGCUUGGAUUCCAUGUAAGUUGUUCCGACUCGAACGAACUCGUUGCGGCUUCCGCUUAGCUCCCUUUACGCUUUGUUUCAACUCUGCGGUUGAGCCCGAUCAAUCUUAAUGGCCUGGCCUCACACAAUGGCCCGGAAUAUGGGUAGAUGCGUAUAAAUAUUUACGACCCUUAAUUGGUAAAGGCUUCGACGUUUGGGGCAACAGAGAGCGAGAUUUUAGAUACCAGCUGAGUGCAUCGUUGGAAAUUUUGCAAAUGGCAAAUGGCAAAUGGCAAGUGGCAUGUGGCAGCUGGCAGCAGCAAAACACCUAACAAAACUGGCCAGAACGACGAAGACUAGGUCUAGCUGAAUUGAUAGAAAGACGUCAGCACUGAGGGGCACUCGAGUCCAAGUCCAACGGCAACAACAAAGAAACA